rnacentral:lncRNA from 1 species
GUGGUAGUGUUGUUGAUAUUUUUACUGCUAUAUUUGUAAAAUAAGGGGCCUAGGCUCAUUUAUUUGUCAGAUUCAAGAAUCCAUGAAUCACUUACCAUUAUCUCCCAGGCCAGGAACCUGGGGACCAAGCCUCUGGACAUAAAAUUGAACUCUGCAAUUCCCAGCCAAGACUGGCUUAGAGCAUCUCCAAAUAAUAAAAGAAAUUGCCAGACAAUGGGAGGCAAAUUACCUCGUAGCCCGUUUAACAAUAUUAAUGUGCCUUACUGAUUCACACAGAGCCUCCCGUGAACUCACUUGGAACGAUUCUCAGGAGUCCUGUAAAAAUACACGGAAGUAACACUUGGUAGCUGGGCCAGAGUACACACACCAUUGCAUAAGAGAGGAAGUCAUGCCACAAUGCCUUAGGGCUUUAUAAAGACAGUCUGCACCACUGAACACACUGGCACAGGGAAGAACGCAGUCCAGAAGUCCUUAAAAAAGUACCCAUUGUUGAACCAGGCCCUCUGAAGUUAGGGCCCCACAAGAACAAAAUUCCACAAUCCCAGCAGUGCUACCUAAUGUCGCCUGGCUCCCCGAGGUAAGGCCUCCUGUGUAGAAAAGAGCUCUCACAGCACGCCUGAGACUUCUCUUCCUAGAAAAGCCUGCUGCAGGGGAAGGAGCAGACAGGAGAAAAUAAUAGAAUAUACCAUUUAUGCUGGGAAAUGCAUUGAGUCAACUUAAUUGCUCUACAGAAACCCUGGGCUUAAAUACUAACACCAUGAAGGACAAGAGUCUGUGUCUCCCCUCCCAAGAAGACAAAACAUGGCUAACUCAAAAACCACUGGAAAAGUGAGUAAUUUCUUAUCAAAGCCAAGCCAUUCAGUAUUAUUUCUGUGGCUGCCAGUGUUGUUUCAAAUAAGUCCUAAUUUAUAUUGGAUGGUGUGGGGCCAAUGAGUUAGACUCCUAAAGUUAAGUUCUCAUUCAUUCUUUCUCACUCCUUCCUUCUCUCACUCACUAAUUCAUUUUACAAACAUUUUUUGAGUAUUUUCUGUUUAUAAUAUGCAUUUGUGUAAUGUAAAUCUUAUAUACACAGUAGACAACUGUAUAAUAAAGUUUGGCUGGCCUUUGUCCCUGGUUCUUGGGAUGUAGCCUGUGAAUUCUUGGGAUUUCUUGAGUUAUUCAUGGCAGACCUCUCAGAAUCCCUUGAUAGUGUAUGUUAACAAGAUAACUCAGGAUGGGGGUUGGCCAUGCAAGAAAGACCAGCCAUGUGAUAGAGGGUUGGGGCUUUGAGCCAAGUGACAUCAGCCCUACCUCCAGGGAAGAGAGGAGGACCAAAGAUUGAGUUCAACCUUAUGGCCAAUGAUUUGAUCAAUCACAUCUACAUGAUGAAACCCCAAUAAAAAUUUGGAACACUGAAGCUUGGGUGAGCUUCCCUGGUAGACAACACUCUGUGGGAGGAGAGAGAACACCAGAGCUGGAAUCCUUCCAGACCUUGCCCUGUGAUCUCUUCUUGUGGCUUAUUCUGAUUCGUAUCCUUUUUGCUAUAAUAAAGCUGUAAUUCUAAGCAUAGCACUUCCUGAGUUCUGUGAGUCAUUUGAGCAAAUUAUCAAACCAGAAGGGGUAGUGAGAACCCCCAAAUGUGUUACCAUAUGUUCACGGAACCCCUGAGCCUGUCGCUGGUGUCUGAAGUAAGGCCAGUCUUGUGAACGGCUGUGCUCUUAACCUGUGAAGUUUGGCCUAAAUGGCUAGUUAGCAUCAGGAGUCAUGGCGAAGCUGUGUGCGAGGUACUUUGAUAGACGCCAGGGAAACAAAUGAACAGUAUUGUUUUAGGUGACACUUUGAUCUGUACAAUCCUGACUGCUAUACUUUUGCCAAGCCUCCAAGCAUUUCCCCCAAGCUACAGGCCAGAAACUGCACAAACAGGCACCAAGUUCACUGUCUACCCUUUUGAUUAGCCCUGAACUGUCCCGCCCACCUCACCUUCUGUUCCCCCAACCACUGCAUUCCCUGUUUGCUUUCUAAUUUUUAUUUUCAUUCAUAACUCCUAUUCAACACAUUCAUUAUCUCAACUUUGGUCCUUUUUUCUUGGCGACUUUUCUUAAUGUCCAUCCCCCAGUGGUCGUUCUGCCUAGGCUGACUGUUCUCUUGGGCUCAUUGCAAUGUGGGAUCCUCCUACAAUCAUAGGAAGUGCGUGAGUCCCAGGUCAGGAAUCCAUCCAGGUCCAUCACCUCAAUAGUUGCUUCUCAUGGAUCAGCUACUCUUGAACCCCUCACCCUUUGGCUUGUUUUUUGUCUUGGUUGGGCCCUUUUGGACUGAAGUCUGGGCUCCAUACUGUCGGCCCUGCCACAGACCUUGCAUUUCUUUAGAACAUUGCUUCCAGAAUCUUCCUGUAGGCUCUGUGGACAACACCCAUGAGCAAGAGGAGCUUUGACUCAUGCUUUGCCCAGGCACCACCAUCCCACCCAGGCCUGUAUCAGCCCUGUCUGCCCAUUUCAGUCCCCAGAGAAUGUCCCUUGGGGCUCAGAACCCCCCACUCCAGUCUGUGGGUCUCCAUCCAGCCCUUAACAACCUCUCAGGUGGAUUCUAGACACUGGGUGCUCACAGGUACCAAGAGGACAUCUUUCAGCACAACUCUGGCAAUCAUCCCAGAUGAUUCUAGCAGUAUAAUGAAGCAGGUUCCAGGCACUGCAACAUUUUCCUACUAAAGGUCAACGAUUACAAUGGCAUAAAUCUGAAGCCAUUUUCAAGGAUUCAGAUUAGCACAUUUGCAUGCAUGACUGUCUGAAAAUUCAGGCUACAUUUGAUUGGUAUGCAAAUUAGCCCUAAAUUUGGCAGUCUUUUACAAUAACUUCAGGAUGUUUUAGACAGACAGGUAAGUAAGUAGAUGGAUAGACAGAAAGAUACAACUAUGCCAAUUGGAGCUAGUCACUGGAAACAGAAAGGACAAAGCCUAGACAAUCAGCAAUACAUGAACAAAAGAAAGGAGAUUAGAAAGCAAACAUCUUCAGGAAGAUUUAGGUGCUCCUAUUUAGAUGCUAUGCAGCAUAGGCUGUGGAUUAAUUAUUCAGCCAGCCAGCCCUCUGCCCAGAGGUACUAAUGACACAAGGAAUCUACAAGAGCCUCCUCCCUUUUCUAAAACCUCUAGCACAGGGGUUAGCCAACAAUUGGCCAGCAAGGGAAACCCUAGACCACCAUCUGUUUCGUAAAUAAAAUGUUAUUGGCACAUACCCUCACCCAUUCAUUUACAUAUCAUCUAUAACUGCUUUAUCUCUACAUAGCAGAGUUCAGUAGUUGCAACAGAGACCAUAUGGCCAACAAAGAAAAACCACGCACUAUCUGGACCUCCACAGAACAUUUGCUGGACCUUCACAGAACGUUUGCUGAUUCACAGAAUGCAGCAGAUCAGCCUAGUGGAACAGAAAGAAGGGAUACUCAGGAAUUAGACAGACCAGUGUCCAAGUCCCCAUCUGUGAACAUGGUGGAGGUGGUCCCAGAAGUUUUCCAUAGGACAGACUCACAGCUGGCAAUUUGUUUGAGAGUGAAGAGACCUAAGGACUUGCCUUGGACUCACUUUAAAUUUAAAUUUAUCCAUUUGCUCAUUUAGCAAAUAUUUUUUAUAAAUGCUUACAAUGUGUCAGACAUUGUUCUAGGUGCUGGCACUGCAGAAGCAAGGACCUUUCUAAAGUGAAGGGAAGGAGGACAAGAAGUAAAGGAAUAUGUCAUAUCUCAGGUAGUGUUAAAUACCAUGAGGAGAAAUAAAUUCGGUGAGGGCUAAAGCGUGAUGGAGGGGUGCCAUUUUGGAUAGGCUGGUCAGGGAAGACAUUUCUGAGGAGGGGACGUCUGAGCAGAGGCAAGAAGUAAUCAAAGGAGAGUGCACAGGAAAAUCAAGGGAAGAGCACUGCAGCCAGCAGGAGCAGCACGCACAAAGGCUCUGAGGUUCCAGCGUGCGGUGUGUUUGAGGGGCAGCAAGUGGGGAGAAGUUUGUGUAAAUGGAGAAGAGGGAGUGAGGGGGGAAAUGAUGAUGACAGAGUGGUCACAUCUGUCAUGUGUCAUGUGUCACGGCCCCAGGUACCGUGUAAGUCACCACAGUCUGGCUUGCUUUCUAGAUAUAGUGGGUUUUGAGCGGAGGGACAAUAUGAUCUUGCUUCAUUUGUCAAGGAUCCCUUUGGCCUUUGGGUGGAGACUAAACUGUAGGAACCAGAGUGGAAACAGAGAAACCAGUUAGGGUUUAGUGUAGAGAAUGAAUAGAGCCUAGCUACUGUGGUGUUCAUCUUGGUGAUCAACGCACCAGCACAGCACAGAUAACCCUGAUUUUCAACAGCUAAGGACAAUAAGAACCUCUUGCCAGUUCAUGCAAAGUCCAGUGUGCGUUUAAUAGUUCUCUGCCAUCUGGGGGAAGAAAGGACUGAAGAUCUUUCUUCAGUGCUGCCAUAACCAGGGAUGCUGCCAUAAACCAGGCCUCAUGUGGCCUAUCAGCACCUCUGUUCACAUCCCAUCCACCAAGCUGGCCAAGGACCCUUGUGGAUGCACGAGGUGCAGGUGUUCUCUUCCAAAUGAGGCAUGAAAAGUAGUCAGAUCCUGGGGAUUCUUGGAAAGUUGGGUGGCCAGGAGGCACAUCCAGGUGACUGUGUUGAGGAGAAGCCAGUGGGAAUGUUUAGGAAGUGUCCCACCCCUGAAACUUGGAUGUAUUGGGUUCCCUCAGCCUCAGUUUCCUCGCCUUUAAAAGGGGGUUAGUGAUAGCUGCCUUGCAAUAUUAUAACAAGGAUCCAGUGUGCACACAAUUCUGAACCUGGGUCAAGUGCAGAGCUGGUGCCCAGAGGCGAGUUAUUUUCAUUUUCGGCAUUACAGAAAGUUUCCAAAUAUCUGAGGAGAGAGGAGCACUGAGCGUUUUUAAGGUUGAGGCUGGGUGGCAGCAGGGCCAACGGCAGCUACUGCAUGGAUUGUUCUAACAGUGCAAGCUGCCUGCCCUGAAGGUAAAUGCCCACUGCCUGGAGUCUGUGCCCCGAUCACCUGGGCCCCCAGUUAUCUAACAGCUGGAAAGGCGAAGCUGGCUGGGCCGAGGACUUACAAGCCUGGGCCAGUGCUAAAGGCAGCACACCUUCCCAUGGGGCAGCAUCCACACACCACCCCCUGGUGGCAGCCUUUGUUCAUCAUCUCUGUGAGCAGAUACCCUCCCCGCACUCCAAAGCAGCACUAAUAUCUGCACCUCUUCUGUUCCAAGGGUUUCUUUCUCCUUCUCGAGAGCCCAGCACCCCAGGUGAAGCCUAGCUCUCACACCCUAAACCCCUGCCAGGCUUGGGUCCUUCCAGCCUGUGUUAGAUUCCAUUCCUUAGAGGCUCUGCUCUGUUCCUGGUCUCCCUGGUUCUGGGGCUGCCUCACUCACCCGUUUCUAAGCCCACUGCAAGGAGAAGAGAGAAUUCGAGGUGAUCGCUGGACGCUGGGCUGAGCUCCUCCAGCAUCACAUCUCCUUUCAUUUCGCAGCGACCUCACAAGGGGCUCGACACCAGCCCUUUACAGAGGCACCUACAUGGUGCCUGGGAUUCUCUGCAGGAUUCUGAGCUGGGAUUCUGUGCAGGCCUGCUCAGCUCACACUCAGGGCAGUUUCCACCUCGGAAGGGCCUCCCAGGGCGAGCCUUGGCCCUCAGCCUGCUCAUAGCCUGGGUGGUGCUGGAUCAUGCUCCUGUUCUGGCCUCUGCAACCUUUCUGAUCUGGCUUCAGCUCCCCUUUCCAGCCUCUACCUCUCCACCCCACUGGACCCCACAUCCAGCUACCCUUAGGUCUCCACCAUUCCCAGAAAGCCUUGAGCUCUCUCUUUCAAGCCCCAGUGAGGCCCCACUGACCUCCCCAGGUAGAAUACAGUCCUUCAGCUGUCCUGUGGCUCCAUGCAGCCUGUCUCACUGGUGAUUAUUUAUUGAGCCUCUGUCACUGCUGCUGGUCUUGGGGCACCUCGAGGACAUGGAUGUGUGUCGUUUUCAUCUUUCUACCCCAGAUACAGCAAGGUCAACACCCAGGGAAGGGCACUGAAGGAUUGCCUGAACAGCUACCCCUCUCUUCUCACAAAGCAGCACAAGUAAACAUAAAACAUCAGGACCUUUAGGCAGAGCAGGAAGAGGUUACAUGACCCCAAACCCCAUAGGGAGGGGAAGAGUUUGGGGAAUGAUUCUAGCUAAUAAUAAAGCUGUCUUCGGUUUCUCAGUUAGAUCAGGUCCUUUAUGAGAAUUGCUCUAUGAGAACCCCGAGGGAGGGAGGGGUUGGGACAGGAUUCAGACAAUCACAGGUGCCUGCUUGUAACACGAUGGCAGCAUCAUCCACCUUAUGCUUGAGCCCCUAGGGUUGUUGCAGUGAAACCUUGCUCUGUCUUUUGGUUGGUAGAUGGACAGGUAAGUAGCCCUGGGCUUGCUGUGGCUCCUCCCAUCUCCCCUUGUUCCUCUUUGCCUUUAUUGAUCAUGCCAAACUCCCCCCAUGGCUGGACUGUUGGCGCCUGCCAUUAGUGGUCAGGGGCAGGAAGGAGGGGCAGAGAGCAUGGCACGGAUCUUGGAUUCAGACAGACCUGGGUUUGAAUUCCAACACUGCCACCUCCUGGCUGUGUGAACCUGGGCAAGUUGCUUAAACUGAGCUUCUGUUUCUUUGUUCAUGAAAUGAAGGUAACAUCAGUAAUUAACUACCUUGACCUGAAUUGUGUCCCCUCCAAAAAUGUUGCAUGACAUUUUUGUUGCAAGGAUAGGGCAUGUUGAAGCCCUAACCCCGAUGUGAUGGUAUUUGGAGAUGAGGCCUUUGGGAGGUUACUGGGGUUAGCAGAGGUCAUGGGGGCGGCCUCAUGGUGGGAUGAGUAUCUUGCUCCCUUGCACUCUUCCUCCCUCUGCCAUGUACAGGCAGUGAGAAAGAGGCCGUCUGCAAGCCAGAAGGAAGGUCCUUGCCAGACAACGAAUCCACCGGCACUUUGAUUUUGGAUUUCCAGGUUGGAGAAGUAUGGGAAAAUAAAUGUCUUGCUGAAGACCCCAGGCUGUGCUGUUUUGUUACAGCCAAAGACACUGACGUCUCUGUAUUUCUGAGAAUGGAAUGCGCCUGGCAUGCAGUACAUUUUGGCAGAGUUGAUGAGCUGGCCAUCACAGUCUCUGCUCCUCUUCAAAGGCAGAGAGCACAUGCUGGGAAGUAGCUACCCAACUGGGGAUGACACUUCCCAGGCCGUGGAUCUGGGCAGAUGGCUCAGUCCUGGACUCAAGGCCUCCUCGGGGUGCUUGCUCUGGGCUCCUCUAAAGUAUGCAUGACGAGCCGUGGUCUCGAGGUUCAAAGGACACCAGGCUAAAAAGCGCCUUGUGAUGUCUCAAGACUGAACACCUUGCUGCGCAUACUGGCCACAGAGGUAGAGCUCCGAUAUCCCAAACAAGAAGUCCCAUGGCCUAACACUGCCUGGCACAGAAAGGAUCUGUUUUAAAAAUGACUGAAAAUGUGUCUGAUGCCUGGGAAACCAGAAGCCCGCCCAGGGCCAAACUCUGGCUCCACUCAUUAUGUGACUGUGGGAAAGUCAGUGAACAGUGUGCCUCAGUUUCGUCAUCUGUAAAAUGGGGAUAAUGAUGAUCCAUACCUCACAGGGCUGUCAUGAGGGUGCACUGAGCUGAUUAACGCAUGAAAAGUACAUGGAGGAGGGCCGGCACCUCAUGAGGGCUUUUUCCAUCUGUGCUCUUACUGAUGCUGCCAUAAUAUGUGUCACUCAUCUUAAGAACGGUAAAGGCCA